UGGGGAAUAUUGCACAAUGGGCGCAAGCCUGAUGCAGCCAUGCCGCGUGUGUGAAGAAGGCCUUCGGGUUGUAAAGCACUUUCAGCGAGGAGGAAGGUGGUGAGCUUAAUACGCUCAUCAAUUGACGUUACUCGCAGAAGAAGCACCGGCUAACUCCGUGCCAGCAGCCGCGGUAAUACGGAGGGUGCAAGCGUUAAUCGGAAUUACUGGGCGUAAAGCGCACGCAGGCGGUUUGUUAGGUCAGAUGUGAAAUCCCCGGGCUCAACCUGGGAACUGCAUUUGAAACUGGCAAGCUAGAGUCUCGUAGAGGGGGGUAGAAUUCCAGGUGUAGCGGUGAAAUGCGUAGAGAUCUGGAGGAAUACCGGUGGCGAAGGCGGCCCCCCUGGACGAAGACUGACGCUCAGGUGCGAAAGCGUGGGGCAGCAAACAGGAUUAGAUACCCUGGUAGUCCAGCGCUGUAAACGAUGUCGAUUUGGAGGUUGUGCCCUUGAGGCGUGGCUUCCGGAGCUAACGCGUUAAAUCGACCG
rnacentral:rRNA from 1 species